UACGAAGGGGGCAAGCGUUACUCGGAAUUACUGGGCGUAAAGCGUGCGUAGGUGGUUCGUUAAGUCUGAUGUGAAAGCCCUGGGCUCAACCUGGGAAUGGCAUUGGAUACUGGCGACCUAGAGUGCGGUAGAGGGUAGCGGAAUUCCCGGUGUAGCAGUGAAAUGCGUAGAUAUCGGGAGGAACAUCCGUGGCGAAGGCGGCUACCUGGACCAGAACUGACACUGAGGCACGAAAGCGUGGGGAGCAAACAGG
rnacentral:rRNA from 1 species